rnacentral:rRNA from 1 species
GUCCACGCAGUAAACGAUGAGUACUAGAUGAUGGGGUUUUCGGACUUUAUUAUCGCAGCUAACGCAUUAAGUACUCCGCCUGGGGAUUACGGUCGCAAGAUUAAAACUCAAAGGAAUUGACGGGGGCCCGCACAAGCGGUGGAGCAUGUGGUUUAAUUCGAUGCAACGCGAAGAACCUUACCUACUCUUGACAUCCUGGAGAGCUUGCUGAGAGGCGAGUGUGCCCGCGAGGGAAUCCAGUGACAGGUGCUGCAUGGCU